GAAGCUGGCCAGACAGUCGCCGCCUGUGCAAACAGGGGGAGGAAAGUCCGGGCUCCGCAGAGCAGGAUGACGGCUAACGGCCGUACGCCGCGAGGCGAGGAAUAGGGCCACAGAGACGAGUAAGCCGCGCUUCGGCGCGGUGGACGUGAAACGCGGUAACCUCCAUCCGGAGCAAGACCAAAUAGGGGAACAAUGGCGUGGCUCGCGCUGUUCCCGGGUAGGUUGCUUGAGCCUGCGAGCAAUCGCAGGCCUAGAGGAAUGACUGUCCACGACAGAACCCGGCUUAUCGGCCAGCUUCUUUU
rnacentral:RNase_P_RNA from 3 species